UCCUGUUCUAGAUACAAUACAGUGAAACGAGAACCUUCAACAAUUAUAAGACAAGAUAGAAGAAGUGCUUCUCCUAGACUCAGUGCAGAAUUCUAGAACUGACAUUCUAGAUAAUCUAGACACUAGACAAUACAACAAGUUUUAAUAUAGAUCUAGAUUACAAUCUAGAACUCCAUCUAGAGUUAUUUGUUUACUAAAAGCAAAACUGACGAUCCAAAACGCAUUGUGAAUUUAUAAACAAAGAUGAUGUCUUCAAAUUAGGUAUUUUCUGAAGACCCCAUGGGGUUUAUGUACACUACCUAUGCGGUGUACCGUUGUACAGUGAACACGUGAAAAUCCUCCAAAACUGUUGUGAAAUGAUCUCUCAAAUCCUCCGGUAAAAAGUUGUACUCAGAGCUUAAAAUAUGUUAAACCUGACAAAGUCACACAAAUUAGAAAUCAGGUUUAAAUUACGUGAUAUUUACGAAGAAUUCAUUUUGAUUGAGUAAACGUGAGUAUUUAAGAGUAUUGACCUAAUAUUCAUUGGCAUACGGGAUCAUUCGCGAGUACUUACGAAUAUUCAUUGGAAUAAGUGAAUAUUAGAGUAUUUACAGAAUAUUCACGUGAGUAUGUGAGUAUUCAUUCAUGAGUAUUUACGGAAUAUUCACGGGCAUACGUGAGCAUUCAAGAGUAUUCGUGAGAACAUAUAAAAAUACUCACGUAUAAUAUUCAACUUGUAUUUCUAAAACUCAAAAGGACUAAAACGAAUAAAUCUGAAGUGCCAUAUUCUAUUAUCUAUACAUUAACAUCUAAGUGUUGUUGAUGCUUGAAAAGCCCUUGAAACCUCCUUGUCAGGCUACACUAGGCAAACAGUCAAACAUAUUUCAUAAUAAUCCUGUAAAUAAGUUUAAUACGCAUAAUAUAAGCGUACAUCAUUUUAUUGAUAAAUCUUCAAGAUCUGAGAUUUGCAUUGCUACAAGAUUACAUAUGACGCAAUUUGGUUUUUUUGUAAUACCAUGAGCGAAAUUAUUGGAAAAUGGGGUAAAUAGAUCAAAAUGAGAAACAAUAGAACCUUUAUAUAAACCUUGGCUUACUACUAACGUAAACUGCACUUCUGGUUGGAAUGUUAACAAACAUUCCCUCCAGUAUCUGCAGUACACUUAAAGAAACCAAAGAUAGAAGGAUUUCUGGUGUAUCUUCCUGUUAUUAAGAUUAGCAUGGUUUAAAGAUUCAUUUUCAACAUUCAGGACACUUUUGGACGACCCUAAAAGCCCAAAAAACUUGAAUGUUAAAAAUGGAUUAAAAACGAUGUUUGUUCUAACCUAGUUUAGUUAAAUAGUUAAUCUUCAUAUUGCAGCUCUAGUCCCCUUUAUACUGGGUUUAAACCAAUAAAUGCAUCACGCUUUAAAAUGAUAAUAUUUUCAAACUAUCUAAUAUCGAUUCAGAGAUUGUCAGCCCAAUCUUAAAAGCGACCCUUCAUCCAAAGAUUGUCAAAAAGGGAUUAACGAUGAUAUCUUUUUAACUUUUAUCAAUCAAAACUUCAUAGAAAUUAUUAAUAAUCAUCCAGUAUCAAUUCCCUCCAUCUACCCACCCCUAGCAUAAAUUUUUAUAUUUGUACUUUUUACUGUGUCGCCGUUUUAUACAUUUUAAAUAUUUCAUGUUUCCUUGUUGUAAGCUCGUUCUAUGUACAAUGCAAUUUUAUUAUUUUUUAACGAAUUUAGCUAAAUGAGUCUUGUAAUAAAUACAUGGUAUUUAUUAAUAUGAAAUAUAUAUAUAUUUAUAUAACAAU